AGAGUUUGAUCCUGGCUCAGGCAACGCUGGCGGCGUGCCUAAUACAUGCAAGUCGAGCGAGCGGAACCAACAGAUUUACUUCGGUAAUGACGUAGGAAAGCGAGCGGCGGAUGGGUGAGUAACACGUGGGGAACCUGCCCCUAAGUCUGGGAUACCAUUUGGAAACAGGUGCUAAUACCGGAUAAUAAAGCAGAUCGCAUGAUCAGCUUUUGAAAGGCGGCGUAAGCUGUCGCUAAGGGAUGGCCCCGCGGUGCAUUAGCUAGUUGGUAAGGUAACGGCUUACCAAGGCGACGAUGCAUAGCCGAGUUGAGAGACUGAUCGGCCACAUUGGGACUGAGACACGGCCCAAACUCCUACGGGAGGCAGCAGUAGGGAAUCUUCCACAAUGGACGCAAGUCUGAUGGAGCAACGCCGCGUGAGUGAAGAAGGUUUUCGGAUCGUAAAGCUCUGUUGUUGGUGAAGAAGGAUAGAGGUAGUAACUGGCCUUUAUUUGACGGUAAUCAACCAGAAAGUCACGGCUAACUACGUGCCAGCAGCCGCGGUAAUACGUAGGUGGCAAGCGUUGUCCGGAUUUAUUGGGCGUAAAGCGAGCGCAGGCGGAAAAAAUAAGUCUAAUGUGAAAGCCCUCGGCUUACCGAGGAACUGCAUCGAAACUGUUUUUCUUGAGUGCAGAAGAGGAGAGUGGAAACUCCAUCCGAACCGUUUUUCUUGAUUCAAAAAGAGGAAGAGUGGAACUCCAUGGGGAGGGGUGGGAUAGCGUGAGAUAAUUGGAGAAACCCCAGUGCGGAGGGGGCCUCUUUGUUUGCAACUGACGUGAGGCCGAAGCAUGGUAGCGAACAAGAAUAGAUACCUGUAGUCAUGCGUAACGAUGAGUGCUAGGUUGGAGGUUCCCCUCUCAGUGCUGCAGCUACGCAUAGCACUCCGCCUGGGGAGUACGACCGCAAGGUGAAACUCAAAGGAAUGACGGGGCCCGCACAAGCGGUGGAGCAUGUGGUUUAAUCGAAGCAACGCGAAGAACCUACAGGUCUGACAUCUAGUGCCAUCCUAAGAGAUUAGGAGUCCCUUCGGGGACGCUAAGACAGGUGGUGCAUGGCUGUCGUCAGCUCGUGUCGUGAGAUGUUGGGUUAAGUCCCGCAACGAGCGCAACCCUUGUUAUUAGUUGCCAGCAUUAAGUUGGGCACUCUAAUGAGACUGCCGGUGACAAACCGGAGGAAGGUGGGGAUGACGUCAAGUCAUCAUGCCCCUUAUGACCUGGGCUACACACGUGCUACAAUGGUCGGCACGAUGAGCAGCGAACCUGUGAAGGCAAGCGAAUCUCUGAAAGCCGAUCUCAGUUCGGACUGUAGUCUGCAACCCGACUACACGAAGCUGGAAUCGCUAGUAAUCGCGGAUCAGCACGCCGCGGUGAAUACGCUCCCGGGCCUUGUACACACCGCCCGUCACACCAUGAGAGUUUGCAACACCCAAAGUCGGUUCGGUAACCUUCGGGAGCCAACCGCCUAAGGUGGGGCAGAUGAUUAGGGUGAAGUCGUAACAAGGUAACC
rnacentral:rRNA from 1 species